GGAAAGCAAUAAAUCAGAAUAUGCAGCCUUACGCAAGCACUGCCCUUUAUUGACUGAAUACCGAAAUACUCCAGUAUAGUUUUAGCAUGUUCGGCAAUGCUUCAUUGACCAUUAGUCAGUUU
rnacentral:lncRNA from 1 species